rnacentral:rRNA from 1 species
CCUACGGGAGGCUGCAGUGAGGAAUAUUGGUCAAUGGGCGAGAGCCUGAACCAGCCAAGUCGCGUGAGGGAAGACGGUCCUAUGGAUUGUAAACCUCUUUUGUCGGGGAGCAAAAAGGCCUCGUGAGGCCACAAGUGAGAGUACCCGAAGAAAAAGCAUCGGCUAACUACGUGCCAGCAGCCGCGGUAAUACGUAGGGGGCUAGCGUUAUCCGGAAUUACUGGGCGUAAAGGGUGCGUAGGUGGUUUCUUAAGUCAGAGGUGAAAGGCUACGGCUCAACCGUAGUAAGCCUUUGAAACUGGGGAACUUGAGUGCAGGAGAGGAGAGUGGAAUUCCUAGUGUAGCGGUGAGAUGCGUAGAUAUUAGGAGGAACACCAGUUGCGAAGGCGGCUCUCUGGACUGUAACUGACACUGAGGCACGAAAGCGUGGGGAGCAAACAGGAUUAGAUACCCCAGUAGUC